GCCUCUAAGUGUGUGGGCUAUUAGGGGGUAUCGUAUUCGCUUCACGAACGGCCCUCCAAAGUGCCGUUCGUGAAACGAACGAGAAUCCCCAUACAAACCGCCGUUUGCAUUCGGCGGAACAGAUAGGUACAGGCAAUGCAGGGAAUACAUGAAGCAGACACAUACAGGUUAAAACGCAUAUCUCUUCAGACCUAUAGGCAAC